GGUGGAAAACAAACACAAAGACUGGUUAUUCUGAGACACAAAUGUCACCAAGAUGGACUUUCACAGCUCCACCUGAGCAAACACUGCCUGGCUGUGAACUCGAAGAACUGCUGGGUUCUGCAGAACCUUAUCUGCUGUAACAUCAGCCAAGGCAUUGCCUGGGAGGCACCCACAUCAACAACCAUGAGCCAGCAGAACAGCUCCAACUCAGACUUCAGGAGAGAAGCACGAGAGCUCGGCUUGGUGAGGAAAUUGAGGCCCAUUCAUUCCCCGACACUGAAUUCCUAAUCCUGGUGAGACCUGCCGGGAGGAUUCCCCCCGGUCCUUAGUUUGCAGAUAUUCCCAGCUGGAGACUCGUCCUGCCUG